CCUACGGGCGGCAGCAGUGAGGAAUAUUGGUCAAUGGGCGCGAGCCUGAACCAGCCAAGUAGCGUGAAGGAUGACUGCCCUACGGGUUGUAAACUUCUUUUAUAAAGGAAUAAAGUGAGGCACGUGUGCCUUUUUGUAUGUACUUUAUGAAUAAGGAUCGGCUAACUCCGUGCCAGCAGCCGCGGUAAUACGGAGGAUUCAAGCGUUAUCCGGAUUUAUUGGGUUUAAAGGGUGCGUAGGCGGUCGGAUAAGUUAGUGGUGAAAUUCCGAGGCUCAACUUCGGAAUUGCCUUUGAUACUGUUCGUCUUGAGAGUAGUUGCGGUAGGCGGAAUGUAUGGUGUAGCGGUGAAAUGCGUAGAGAUCAUACAGAACACCGAUUGCGAAGGCAGCUUACCAAGCUACUUCUGACGUUGAGGCACGAAAGCGUGGGUAGCAAACAGGAUUAGAUACCCGGGUAGUC
rnacentral:rRNA from 1 species